rnacentral:rRNA from 1 species
UGACGAAGGGGGCUAGCGUUGCUCGGAAUCAACUGGGCGUAAAGGGUGCGUUAGGCGGGUCGUUUUAAGUCAGGGGUGAAAUCCUGGAGCUCAACUCCCAGAACUGCCUUUGAUACUGAGGAUCUUGAGUUCGGGAGAGGUGAGUGGAACUGCGAAGUGUAGAGGUGAAAUUCGUAGAUAUUCGCAAGAACACCAGUGGCGAAGGCGGCUCACUGGUCCGGUACUGACGCUGAGGUGGCGAAAAGCGUGGGGAGCAAACAGG